rnacentral:rRNA from 1 species
CCGCAAACCGACACUGGUGCGCGAGAUGAGUAUUCUAAGGCGCUUGGGUGAGCCGCGGAGAAGGAACUAGGCAAAUUAACGCUGUAACUUCGGGAUAAAGCGUACCACAGCGAUGUGGUCACAGUAAAAUGGUUCAACCAACUGUUUAGCAAAAACACAGGGCCCUGCAAAUUCGAAAGAAGACGUAUAGAGCCUGAUACCUGCCCGGUGCUGGAAGGUUAAGGAAGCUUGUUCGGAGCAAUCCAAAGCUUGUGACCGAAGCCCCAGUAAACGGCGGCCGUAACUAUAACGGUCCUAAGGUAGCGAAAUUCCUUGUCGGGUAAGUUCCGACCUGCACGAAUGGAGUAAUGAUGGCCACACUGUCUCCUCCAGAGACUCAGCGAAGUUGAAAUGUUUGUGAUGAUGCAAUCUCCCCGCGGAAAGACGGAAAGACCCCAUGAACCUUUACUGUAGCUUUACAUUGGACUUUGAACAGAUCUGUGUAGGAUAGGUGGGAGGCUUUGAAGUAAGGUCGCUAGAUCUUAUGGAGCCGACGUUGAAAUACCACCCUGGUGUGUUUGAGGUUCUAACCUUGGCCCGUUAUCCGGGUUGGGGACAGUGUAUGGUGGGCAGUUUGACUGGGGCGGUCUCCUCCCAAAGUGUAACGGAGGAGUUCGAAGGUACGCUAGGCACGGUCGGAAAUCGUGCUGAUAGUGCAUUGGCAUAAGCGUGCUUGACUGCGAGACUGACAAGUCGAGCAGGUACGAAAGUAGGACUAAGUGAUCCGGUGGUUCUGUAUGGAAGGGCCAUCGCUCAACGGAUAAAAGGUACUCUGGGGAUAACAGGCUGAUACCGCCCAAGAGUUCAUAUCGACGGCGGUGUUUGGCACCUCGAUGUCGGCUCAUCUCAUCCUGGGGCUGUAGCCGGUCCCAAGGGUAUGGCUGUUCGCCAUUUAAAGAGGUACGUGAGCUGGGUUUAAAACGUCGUGAGACAGUUUGGUCCCUAUCUUCCGUGGGCGCUGCAAGAUUGAGAGAGCCUGCUCCUAGUACGAGAGGACCGGAGUGGACGCACCUCUGGUGUACCGGUUGUCACGCCAGUGGCAUUGCCGGGUAGCUAAGUGCGGAAGAGAUAACCGCUGAAAGCAUCUAAGCGGGAAACUCGUCUCAAGAUGAGUCUUGCCGGGGCCUAGAGCCCCCUGAAGGGUCGUUCGAGACCAGGACGUUGAUAGGCUGGGUGUGGAAGUGCAGUAAUGCAUUAAGCUAACCAGUACUAAUUGCUCGUGAGGCGGACCACC